rnacentral:lncRNA from 1 species
CAUAAAGCAACCGUCAUCCUAGAGGCCCACUACUGGUACUUUGCUAGGGUAUCCGGUAACUGCGGCAUCUCCUACGUGCAUCACGUUUCCUGGAAUCCCAUCUAGCCCCUGCAUGGCAGACAUCCCAUACUGGCAGGCUUCUGUGCAUAGGUGAAGAGGAACAAGCAACCUGCAGGCCUCUUAAUGGAAGAGCAGGCAGACACAUCUGUGAGACUACUAUGGAAUGGAUCCAACAAGAAACAAACCAGGAGGAUGGUAAGGUCACUCAGAGGUCAAAGAAAUUGCCACAUCUUUAGAAGACCUGAGUUUAGUUCCCAGUACCCACAGUGUGGCUCAUCUGUGACUCCAGUUCCAAGGGAUGUGACAGCUUCCUCUGACCUCCAAGGGCACCAGUCACACAUGUGGUGUGCAUACAUAUAUGCAGAUCCGCCUGGCCUAAAUGACAACUGAAUAUGCAACUCUGGAAAUUACUGUUUCUCCUAGGAAGCCACUGUCACUUAUUAAAUCGUCACAACAGAUUAAGAACGGUGAUGCCUGAAGGAUGGUUUGAACAGAACACAGCUCUGCAGUCCAGUAAGCUUCUCCCUACCGGAAGUCUCACAAGUGAAAAUGAUGGCCUCUCUCCAGAUUCCACGUCAAGCACACAGUUAAUCUCGGCGUCACUAUUCAUAUAUCUUCUGGGCAGGUGUCUAAGCAAGAACGGUUUGGAACUGCUUAAUUGGCACACACGGUAUCCUAACCUUCUCUUCUGGCUCAGGUCUAUGCAUCAAAGAAACGACUGAAGUGGACUUCAUCUUCUGUUUUAAUUGAUAUCUUCAAAAAAAAAAU